rnacentral:rRNA from 1 species
CACGUAGGGGGCGAGCGUUGUCCGGAUUUAUUGGGCGUAAAGAGCGUGUAGGCGGCCAGAUAGGUCCGUUGUGAAAACUGGAGGCUUAACCUCCAGCUGUCGAUGGAAACCAUCUGGCUAGAGUCCGGAAGAGGAGAGUGGAAUUCCUGGUGUAGCGGUGAAAUGCGCAGAUAUCAGGAAGAACACCCGUGGCGAAGGCGGCUCUCUGGGACGGUACUGACGCUGAGACGCGAAAGCGUGGGGAGCAAACAGG